GCUUCGGUGGACUAGUGGUUAGAGCGUCCGCCUCGGAUGCGGGAGGUCGUGGGUUCGAUACCCGGUCGAGUCA